AUUGCCCUAGUAACGGCGAGUGAAGCGGCAACAGCUCAAAUUUGAAAUCUGGCUCCCUUGGGGGUCCGAGUUGUAAUUUGUANAGGGUGCUUUGGUGUUAGCUGUGGUCUAAGUCCCUUGGAACAGGGCGUCACAGAGGGUGAGAAUCCCGUAUGUGGCCAGCAGCUCCCGCCUUGUAAAGCCCCUUCGACGAGUCGAGUUGUUUGGGAAUGCAGCUCUAAAUGGGAGGUAAAUUUCUUCUAAAGCUAAAUAUUGGCCAGAGACCGAUAGCGCACAAGUAGAGUGAUCGAAAGAUGAAAAGCACUUUGGAAAGAGAGUCAAAAAGCACGUGAAAUUGUUGAAAGGGAAGCGCUUGCAGCCAGACUUGCCCGUAGUUGCUCAUCCAGGCCUCGUGUCUGGUGCACUCUUCUGCGGGCAGGCCAGCAUCAGUUCAGGCGGUCGGAUAAAGGCUCUGGGAAUGUGGCUCCUCUCGGGGAGUGUUAUAGCCCAGGGUGCAAUGCGGCCAGCUUGGACUGAGGUCCGCGCUUCUGCUAGGAUGCUGGCGUAAUGGCUGUAAGCGGCCCGUCUUGAAACACGGACCAAGGAGUCUAACAUCUAUGCGAGUGUUUGGGUGUCAAGCCCGAGCGCGUAAUGAAAGUGAACGGAGGUGGGAACCCCUUGGGGUGCACCAUCGACCGAUCCUGAUGUCUUCGGAUGGAUUUGAGUAAGAGCAUA
rnacentral:rRNA from 1 species